AAAAUAAUAAUGAUAAAAUUAGUAUAAAUUUUAAAUGUUAAAAUAAAUUUAUAAGAAAAGUUUAUAUACAGAACUCGGCAAAUAUUUUACUCGCCUGUUUAACAAAAACAUGUCUUUUUGAGUAAUUGU